rnacentral:rRNA from 1 species
CAUGCAAGUCGAACGGAGCACCCUUGAUUGAGGUUUCGGCCAAAUGAUAGGAAUGCUUAGUGGCGGACUGGUGAGUAACGCGUGAGGAACCUGCCUUUCAGAGGGGGACAACAGUUGGAAACGACUGCUAAUACCGCAUGACGCAUUUUGAUCGCAUGGUCGAAAUGCCAAAGAUUUAUCGCUGAAAGAUGGCCUCGCGUCUGAUUAGCUAGUUGGUGAGGUAACGGCCCACCAAGGCGACGAUCAGUAGCCGGACUGAGAGGUUGACCGGCCACAUUGGGACUGAGAUACGGCCCAGACUCCUACGGGAGGCAGCAGUGGGGAAUAUUGGGCAAUGGGCGCAAGCCUGACCCAGCAACGCCGCGUGAAGGAAGAAGGCUUUCGGGUUGUAAACUUCUUUUAAGUGGGAAGAGCAGAAGACGGUACCACUUGAAUAAGCCACGGCUAACUACGUGCCAGCAGCCGCGGUAAUACGUAGGUGGCAAGCGUUGUCCGGAUUUACUGGGUGUAAAGGGCGUGCAGCCGGGCAUGCAAGUCAGAUGUGAAAUCUCAGGGCUUAACCCUGAAACUGCAUUUGAAACUGUAUGUCUUGAGUGCCGGAGAGGUAAUCGGAAUUCCUUGUGUAGCGGUGAAAUGCGUAGAUAUAAGGAAGAACACCAGUGGCGAAGGCGGAUUACUGGACGGUAACUGACGGUGAGGCGCGAAAGCGUGGGGAGCGAACAGGAUUAGAUACCCUGGUAGUCCACGCCGUAAACGAUGGAUACUAGGUGUGCGGGGACUGACCCCCUGCGUGCCGCAGUUAACACAAUAAGUAUCCCACCUGGGGAGUACGAUCGCAAGGUUGAAACUCAAAGGAAUUGACGGGGG